rnacentral:miRNA from 10 species
UAAAUGCAACCAUUAUUGCUAC